rnacentral:rRNA from 1 species
AUGUCUUGUAGAUCAAUGGCCAACGCUAAUGUCAACAUGAACUUCAACGCGUUCCUAGAGAAAACCAAGCUGAAAGAUGAUGGAAGCAACUAUACGGACUGGGUUCGGAACCUGAGGAUCAUCCUCAUAGCUGCCAGAAAGCAAUAUGUCCUAGAAGGACCGCUAGGUGACGCUCCCGUCCCAGAGAACCAAGACGUUAUGAACGCUUGGCAAGCUCGUGCUGAUGAUUACUCCCUCGUUCAGUGCGGCAUGCUUUACAGCUUAGAACCGGGGCUCCAAAAGCGUUUUGAGCACCACGGAGCAUAUGAGAUGUUCGAAGAGCUGAAACUAGUUUUCCAAGCUCAUGCCCGGGUCGAGAGAUAUGAUGUCUCUGACAAGUUCUACAGUUGUAAGAUGGAGGAAAACAGUUCUGUCAGUGAGCACAUCCUGAAGAUGUCUGGGUUGCACAACCGUAUGACCCAGCUGAACAUAAACCUCCCAGAUGAGGCGGUCAUUGACAGAAUCCUCCAGUCGCUCCCACCAAGCUACAAGAGCUUUGUGAUGAACUACAACAUGCAGGGGAUGGUAAAGACCAUUCCUGAAGUGUUCUCGAUGCUGAAGUCAGCAGAGGCUGAAAUCAAGAAAGAACAUCAAGUGUUGAUGGUCAAUAAGACCACUAAGUUCAAGAAGGGCAAGGGUAAGAAGAACUUCAAGAAGGACGGCAAAGAUGUUGCCGCGCCCGGUAAGCCUGUUGCCGGGAAGAAGUCAAAGAAUGGACCCAAGCCUGAGACUGAGUGCUUUUAUUGCAAGGGGAAGGGUCACUGGAAGCGGAACUGCCCCAAAUACUUAGCGGAUAAGAAGGCCGGCAACACCAAAGGUAUAUUUGAUAUACAUGUGAUUGAUGUGUACCUUACCAGUACUCGUAGUAACUCCUGGGUAUUUGAUACUGGUGUCGUUGCUCAUAUUUGUAACUCACAGCAGGAGCUGCGGAAUAAACGGAGACUGGCGAAGGACGAGGUGACUAUGCGCGUCGGGAAUGGUUCCAGAGUCGAUGUGAUCGCCGUCGGCACGCUGCCUCUACAUUUACCUACGGGAUUAGUUUUGAACCUUAACAAUUGUUAUUUAGUGCCAUGUUUGAGCAUGAACAUUGUAUCUGGAUCUCGUUUAAUACGAGAUGGCUACUCAUUUAAGUCUGAGAAUAAUGGUUGUUCGAUUUAUAUGAGAGAUAUGUUUUAUGGUCAUGCUCCAAUGGUCAAUGGUUUAUUCUUAAUGAAUCUCGAGCAUAAUGUUACACAUGUUCAUAGUGUGGAUGCCAAAAGAUGUAAAGUUGAUAACGAUAGUCCCACAUACUUGUGGCACUGCCGCCUUGGUCACAUUGGUGUCAAGCGCAUGAAGAAGCUCCAUGCUGAUGGACUUUUGGAGUCUCUUGAUUAUGAAUCGUUUGACACAUGCGAACCAUGCCUCUUGGGAAAAAUGACCAAGACUCCGUUCUCCGGAACAAUGGAGCGAGCAACCAACUUGUUGGAAAUCAUACAUACCGAUGUGUGCGGUCCAAUGAGCGUUGAGGCUCGCGGAGGAUAUCGUUAUGUUCUCACUCUCACUGAUGACUUGAGUAGAUAUGGGUAUGUCUACUUAAUGAAACACAAGUCUGAGACCUUUGAAAAGUUCAAGGAAUUUCAGAGUGAGGUAGAGAAUCAACGUGACCGAAAGAUAAAAUUCUUACGAUCAGAUCGUGGAGGAGAAUACUUAAGUCACGAAUUUGGUACACACUUAAGGAAAUGUGGAAUCGUUUCACAACUCACGCCGCCUGGAACACCUCAGCGAAACGGUGUGUCCGAACGUCGUAAUCGCACUCUAUUGGAUAUGGUGCGGUCUAUGAUGUCUCUUACCGAUUUACCGCUAUCAUUUUGGGGAUACGCUCUAGAGACAGCUACAUUCACUUUAAAUAGGGCACCGUCUAAAUCCGUUGAGACGACACCGUAUGAAUUAUGGUUUGGAAAGAAACCUAAGCUGUCAUUUCUAAAAGUUUGGGGAUGCGAUGCUUAUGUCAAGAAACUUCAACCUGAAAAGCUCGAACCCAAGUCGGAAAAAUGCGUAUUCAUAGGAUACCCUAAGGAAACUGUCGGGUAUACCUUCUACUUAAGAUCCGAAGGCAAGAUCUUUGUUGCCAAGAAUGGAUGCUUUCUGGAAAAAGAGUUUCUCUCGAAAGAAGUAAGUGGGAGGAAAGUAGAACUCGAUGAAGUACUACCUCUUGAACGGGAAAGUGGCACAGCGCAGGAAACCGUUCCUGUGAUGCCCACACCAACUGAAGAGGAAAACAAUGAUGAUGAUCAAGGUACUUCGGAUCAAGUUACUACUGAACUUCGUAGGUCCACAAGGACACGUUCCGCACCAGAGUGGUACGGCAACCCUGUCCUGGAAAUCAUGUUGUUAGACAACAAUGAACCUUCGAACUAUGAAGAAGCGAUGGCGGGCCCGGAUUCCAACAAAUGGCUUGGAGCCAUGAAAUCCGAGAUAGAAUCCAUGUAUGAAAACAAAGUAUGGACUUUGACAGACUUGCCCGAUGAUCGGCGAGCGAUAGAAAACAAAUGGAUUUUUAAGAAGAAGACGGACGCGGAUGGUAAUGUUACCAUCUAUAAGGCUCGACUUGUCGCUAAGGGUUAUCGACAAGUUCAAGGGAUUGACUACGACGAGACUUUCUCUCCCGUAGCGAAGCUGAAGUCCGUCCGAAUCAUGUUAGCAAUUGCCGCAUACUAUGAUUAUGAGAUAUGGCAGAUGGACGUCAAAACGGCAUUCCUUAACGGACAUCUUAAGGAAGAGUUGUAUAUGAUGCAGCCAGAAGGUUUUGUCGAUCCUCGGAACGCUAACAAAGUAUGCAAGCUCCAGCGAUCCAUUUAUGGACUGGUGCAAGCAUCUCGGAGUUGGAACAUUCGCUUUGAUGAGAUGAUCAAAGCGUUUGGGUUUGCGCAAACUUAUGGAGAAGCCUGCGUUUACAAGAAAGUGAGUGGGAGCUCUGUAGCAUUUCUCAUAUUAUAUGUAGAUGACAUACUCUUGAUGGGAAAUGAUACGAAACUUCUGGACAGCAUUAAGGCCUACUUGAACAAGUGUUUUUCAAUGAAGGACCUUGGAGAAGCUGCUUAUAUAUUAGGCAUCAAGAUCUAUAGAGAUAGAUCGAGACGCUUCAUAGGUCUUUCACAAAGCACAUACCUUGAUAAGAUUUUGAAGAGGUUUAAAAUGGAUCAGUCCAAGAAGGGGUUCUUGCCUAUGUUACAAGGUGUGAGACUGAGCUCGGCUCAGUCACCGACCACGGCAAAAGAUAAAGAAGAGAUGAGUGUCAUCCCCUAUGCUUCAGCCAUAGGAUCUAUUAUGUAUGCCAUGCUGUGUACCAGACCCGAUAUAAACCUUGCCGUAAGUUUGGUAGCAAGAUACCAAAGUAAUCCCGGCAAGGAACACUGGACAGCGGUCAAGAAUAUCCUGAGGUACCUGAAAAGGACGAAGGACAUGUUUCUCGUUUAUGGAGGAGACGAAGAGCUCGUCGUAAAGGGUUACGUCGACGCUAGCUUCGACUCAGAUCUGGAUGAAUCUAAGUCACAAACCGGAUACGUGUAUAUGUUGAAUGGUGGAGCAGUAAGCUGGUGCAGCUGCAAGCAGAGCGUCGUGGCGGGAUCUACGUGUGAAGUGGAGUACAUGGCAGCCUCGGAGGCAGCGCAUGAAGCGAUUUGGGUGAAGGAGUUCAUCACCGACCUAGGAGUCAUACCCAAUGCGUCGGGGCCGAUCAAACUCUUCUAUGACAACACUGGAGCUAUUGCCCUUGCCAAGGAGCCCAGGUUUCACAAGAAGACCAGGCACAUCAAGCGUCGUUUCAACUCCAUCCGUGAAAAUGUUCAAGAUGGAGACAUAGAGAUUUGCAAAGUGCACACGGAUCUGAAUGUCGCAGAUCCGCUGACUAAACCUCUCUCGCGUGCAAAACAUGAUCAACACCAGAACUCUAUGGGUGUUCGAUUCAUCACAAUGUAA